AACGCGAAGAACCUUACCUGGGCUUGACAUGUGGGUGACCGGUGUGGAAACACACCUUCCCUUCGGGGCACCUUCACAGGUGGUGCAUGGCUGUCGUCAGCUCGUGUCGUGAGAUGUUGGGUUAAGUCCCGCAACGAGCGCAACCCCCGUCGCAUGUUGCCAGCAUUUAGUUGGGGACUCAUGCGAGACUGCCGGUGACAAACCGGAGGAAGGUGGGGAUGACGUCAAGUCCUCAUGCCCCUUAUGUUCAGGGCUACACACGUGCUACAUUGGCGCAUACAGAGGGCUGCGAUACCGCGAGGUGGAGCGAAUCCCUUAAAGUGCGUCUCGGUUCGGAUUGCAGGCUGAAAUUCGCCUGCAUGAAGGCGGAGUUGCUAGUAAUCGCGGAUCAGCAUUGCCGCGGUGAAUACGUUCCCGGGCCUUGUA
rnacentral:rRNA from 1 species